GUAUGUAUUAGAAUUCCGUGUUGUAAACUGUUCUGUCCUCGUUCGCGUAUGGUACAUUAGGUAAAUCGAUGUGAUACAUGUCUAGUUCUCUUUGUGUCAAUUCGACCGUGAUUAGUUUUCCCUCUUCACAUCCUUUAAUUUUUUUUUUUUUUUCGUUUUUUUUUUUUUUUUUCGUUUCGUAAUUCCUCUUUCGCGGUUCCUCGCGCGUGCGCGAUCGACGACGGCUUCUUUUGCCUGAGAGAGAGGCAGGAUAACAUGUCGAAUCUUUAAAAUACGCUGACGAUUGUCACAUGGAGUUUAGGACACGUGCAUUUAUUAAAUUUUAUCGUUACCUACUAUUAUACCUUGUCGAUGGAAUACCGGGCGUACGAACGCUUAACACGCCAAGCAUGGAGGAUGCUCUGAGAAAAUCUUCCCUCUUUUAUCGCUCGACGUAUCGGAAUUUCGGAUACGCUCAAACAAAUUCGAGACUUCGGAUAUAUUUCUAAGUAUACAAAAGUAUAUGUGUGAUCUUAAAGCGAAAUUAAUGUUAUAUUGAUCUCGAUACAACCGGCGUUCGUACACCCGGCGAUAUUCGUUAUUAGUUAACGCUAUUAGUUAUUAUCAGUUAAUGCUAUUAGUUAUACUAUUACCACUAUUAUUAGUUAUCGCUAUCGACUCUUGAUGCGUCCCUUAUUGUCGAUCGGCGAAAUAACUAUUUCGAUUGCCCUCUUCGUCUCGAACGCGCUUCGUUUAGUUAGCGCGCUGUCACAUUAAUCUCAUUAAUCAUCUCCUUUCACUAAUUAAUAAAAUCUAGACUCGAAAUUAGGAUCUCUCGAAAGUGUUACAUGGUACGUUAUGGAAAAAGAAAAAGAGAAAGAUUUUCACCUGUUUGCACACAUUUCGUCCAUUCCAUCAUACAUUUCGUGCGAUGAUAUAAAAUUAUUACAUUGUUGAGAAAUGAAUCGUAAUCGUUAUAUCUUGAUCGUUCGAAAAUUUCAUGUGCUAAAUUAAUGUGCAGCGAGAGAAAACACGGAGUUAAUCGAUCGAGACGGAGAGCGGUGUGCGCGAUUUGAGAUGUUUCGAUGGAGGAUUAAUGUCCGAAAGGUGCGAUGACUAGCUAAAGGAACCAGAACGCAACGAAGAAUGUCAAGAAGGACAGUUCGUUCUGAUUGUUUCUGGUCGCGUUCUGGUUGCAAUUAGAGAAGCUAUGGGAUCCUCAAAGCACCAAUGCACGUCGCGAGCUACGUACAUACAAUUUCGAAUUUCGGAAAAUAAUCGACGCGCGAAAAAAGAAGUACGGAAAUAAAAAAAAAAAGCUAUCUUAAAAGCACAAUUACUAUGUAGUGAGGAGGAGAAAGAGAGAGAGAGAGAGAGAGAGAGAGAGAGAGAGAGAGAGAGAGAAUUUCUCGAUGGUGAUUGCACAUUGCAUGUCGACAGGCAACAAAACAGAGUCCCCCUCCCCUCCAGUAAUAAAAAUCAAUAGAAAAAUCAAGUCAUGGCCGAAUGAAACGCAAGAGCAAAAAGUUUUUUCAGUACGUGAAUUUUUCGAGAUCUUUCAAAAUUUGCACGAAACGGGCGACUUCUUUUCAUUUUUCGAGAUCGCGAAAUUUUUCUUCCAAAAGAUAUUGAAAAAAAAAAAAGAGAGAGAAAGAGAGAAAGACAGAGAGAGUGAUUCUCGUUUCCUUUGUACCAGGACCAAAAGAAAGCAAAUAGCCGAAUAUAUAUCUAUAUAUAAAAAUAUACAUAUAUGUAUGUAUGUAUGUAUGUAUGUUCGUAUGUACGUACAUACAUGAAACCAACACACGCAACGCGUACGAGACGUGCGAACGUGUUCUUCAGCGCGACGAUCCUGCCGGAACGAUGCGCGAUCGAGCGACUUUCGGACAACCAGAACGAGUGCCUCGGGUCCGAUCCCAAUGCUGGACGGGCCCAGAUUUGGGAAAAUUUUUUGCCGGCAGAUCGACGCGCUAGAGGAACACGAACGGUGAGGAGGAGAGGAGACAGGAGGCAAAAGUAGCUCGGACAGCAAUAGUUACAGGUCGAAACAAGCAAAAAUUACAGGUUUAAUAAGAAAAGAAAAAAAAAAUACAACAAUAGAAAUUCAGUCGGAACAGCGGAAACAAAAAUCGCGUAGAAAACACGAGGCAACGUAUAGUUAUUAUAUUUUCUCUGUUAGCGCACAGAUCGCACCAUCACAGUUUCAGUUCUUCCCUCGCGAUCGUAGAUCGUUGUUAGAUUUUCCGACGCUCAUGGUAUCGCGACGUCCGCAUCCCUCGAUCGAGAAUGCAUUUCUCACGAAUAAUCCGUUCGGUUGAAUAUCACAGAGUGAUCGAGAGA